rnacentral:lncRNA from 1 species
GCGCCCAGCGCCUGCUGAAAUGAGGCGAUGAGGUGAUGACGUGCUGCCUGGGUCGCAAGCGGAAGAGCCCCCACCUGCUGAAGUCACGCCUGCUGAGUCAUUUCCGGGGAAGUGACUCCGAGAAUCUGCCUGCUCGCGUCUCUGGCUUCCUGUUUAUGGUGUCAUCUGCCUCACACGUGGUCUCCCACCAUGAUACCAUCUGUCCUGAGGUGCUCCAGCCAAGUGUCCUUCCACUAGUGCUGCUGCCAUGCCGCUUGUGCUUCUAAAGGGCAGAGGAAGAAUUCAGAUAGGUGACAGCAUAUUUCUUAGCAGGAACUACACAAGACCGAAGACUAUGGCAUGCCAUCUUUAAAUAGUGAAAGGAAAACAAAACACAGUCCAAGCAAAACUACCUCCUAAAAAUCAAAUCUCCAGAUACACCAAAGCCAGAAGAAACUUCCCCCAGAUGAACCACACUGUUCUG